AGAGACAGCAGCAGCCGCGGUAAUACGGAGGGUGCAAGCGUUAAUCGGAAUUACUGGGCGUAAAGCGCACGCAGGCGGUCUGACAAGUCAGAUGUGAAAUCCCCGGGCUUAACCUGGGAACUGCAUUUGAAACUGUCAGGCUGGAGUCUUGUAGAGGGGGGUGGAAUUCCAGGUGUAGCGGUGAAAUGCGUAGAGAUCUGGAGGAAUACCGGUGGCGAAGGCGGCCCCCUGGACAAAGACUGACGCUCAGGUGCGAAAGCGUGGGGAGAAAACAGGAUUAGAGACCCCUGUAGUCCCUGUCUCUUAUAC
rnacentral:rRNA from 1 species